rnacentral:tRNA from 1 species
GAUUUGGUAGCUCAAUUGGUGAGAGCAUCAGGCUAUUAACCUGAAGGUAGUGGGUUCGAACCCCACCCAAGCCUCCA